UGUCUGUCUGUCUGUCUGUCUCUCUGCCUGUCUGUCUGUCUGUCUCUCUGUCUGUAGCUGCUCGGUGAAUAUGACUGAUGACAUAUUUUGUGUUGGUUGAAGCCAGAUAAAGACAGCUUCUUGUUUGAGCCGUGAUUACACCAGGUGCUUUAAUAACACUGUGUACACAGGCACUGAUGUUCACAAACAGACUUUACUACCGCACGCACACAGACAGGUAAACAGACACUGACACUGACACAGGCCCGACCCACCCAGUGGACAGACGCCCUGUUUGCAUAGAGAUGUCUUUGUGCCCCGGCGUCCGGACUAUCAACACGGCUCCUAACUGAUUUGAAUGCAGGUUCCCUUUUUUUGAAAUCGUGUUUAUUCUGUAUAAAGUCUUGUUUGUAACUAUAUCAGGCAGAAAAACAGGCUUCACAAAUCAGCCACUGUAUUUAAAAAAAAAAGGAAAUGUGUAAAAUGUGUUUAUCGUGGACCAACUCUAUGUUUUACUGUGUGUGAGUUCUCUGGUCUUCUCUAAAAGCAUGGACUUUAAAGAAUCAGGUUGAUCAUAGACUCUAAAACCGUGGUUCCUGACCAUUUUUUGGCCUGUGGUCCUAUUUUGACAUCACAAAUUUCUGGCGACCCCAGAGACAUUUUUGCAGCUGUGCAAUCACACGAUCUCAGUCUAUCGUCAUGAAAGUGAUCGCAGUUGUGUGUGGUGUUUCACAUCAUCAUUUUAAAAAAGAAUAAUGAUUAGUUGAAAAAACAUUUUUAGUAGUAAUUUUUUAAAAUUGAAUUUCCGACGACCCCAUUCAAAAUUAGAUGGGACCCUAGGUGGGUUCACGACCCCAAGCUUGAAAACCACUGCUCUAAAAUGACCCUAGGCGUGAAUGUGAGCGUGAAUGGACUGUCGGACUGUACAGGAUUUACAACACCCCCCCCAGACCCUGAGCGAAGGAAUAAGCAGUAGAUAAUGGAUGGACGUUCCUUACAGCACUCAAUGGGAUUGGAAGCUGCUUGGAGAGAGAUGUGCUGUCCACCAGGCUGAGCGGGAUCUCAAGGACUUUGGUGCCAUUGACGAUCUUCUCGUAGCUGGUGGUGGUGACCGUCUUGCCGGUGAUGCGGUGAACUUGGUAGAAGGCGUGAGGUUUGAGGAUGCGCUCGUCUGCGGUACCUAUGAAGAUCUGCAGCCCCAGCGGCUCCUUGCCUCUAAACCAAAAAAGUUAAGAACAAAAAUAGGAACUGAUAAAGAGGAUGAAGCGGUUAGAGAUGUCACUUUCCACCUGAGAGUAACUCCGAAGGAAACCUGCAAAAACCACAAGGCAUCAAGCUGCAUCUACACAAACGCUGCUGUAGUCACAGACUCAGGUGCAUAACCUUUGUUACACAAUGAACCGUGUGCACAACGGUAAAGCACCGGCAUCACUGCAAAAAGGCCGUCCUCCAAAAGAGAGAUUCAGUGUGUGUGUGUGUGUGUGUGCAUUUUUUUUUUUGUGCCGACCAAUAAAAAAAAUCAUGUUAGGUCUUCAUACUUCACGUGCUGCAGAGUUCUUUUUUUAUGAUCACACAUUUGCAUAAACCUUCACGUUCGGCUUCAUUUCAUUCCGAGAGCAGCCGGUGGUAAAAGUGUUUUGCCUGUUGGCAUGUGGACUGGAGGGGCUGGGUAUCGAACCGCCAACAUUCCAGAUUUUGAAAGAGAAACCCCCGGGCACAGCAAGAAAGCAAGAUUUGGUGUGGCUGCAACCGUCAGAGCUCACAGCUGCUGCUGGUUUUCACGCAGACACUAUGGUAACAUGAAUGAGUGUGUAGGGUCCAGUUCCAGGUAUCUGACACACGGGCUGAGACAGACGGACGGACGGACGGACGGACGGAGUCCACUGCAAACACUCUGCGAGCCACGUGAGCCCUCGGCCGGUUGUCAUGGCAGAGGCAGGGGCAGUGAGUCAUGACAGAGAGCGGCGUAGGAAAAAUAAAGUGGAGCGCGGCAUAGCUGGGACAGUAACAGAGUGUAUGUAGUGUCGAGGAAAGGAGCGAGGAAAAACACAGGGAGGAGGGGGAGGGAGGAGGGGAGAGGAGAGGAAGAUGAGGUGAGGGAGUGCACUCGUGACUCGUGGCUGGUGAGCCCUGACCAUCUGAUUGGUCUGGCAGCGCGGGGCAAACUGACCUCAGGGCCAGGACUUCUGGGGAUGGGCAGUAAAUGGAAAAGAAACCUGUGAAGGUUUUAAUUCCAAUGAUUUUAUAAUAUCUCUAACAUAAACAGCUCUGGCAGUGUUGCCACGGUGACCGGGGAUUUGAGGUGAAUGUCCUCCUGGAUCAUUGGUCUCUGAACUCUGUGUGUGUUUGUUUUCUGUUUGAAUUUGAUUUUUAGCAAUAUUAGCUCUAGCCUUUUUCUUCUUCUUCUCUAACAUUAAUCAAACCAGAGGUGAACGAUCGAGCCUUACAUCUGGUAUGGACUGGUGGAAAAAAUCAAAUAUCAAAUAAAUUUAAUAUAAUAAGUCCAGAUCUAGCAAAUUAAAAAAACGAUUGCAGCUGGAGUCGUAGGUUUUCGGGAAUUCUAAGACAAUUCUGGGUCAAAUCUGGGUUGAGUCUUCACUAGGUUCUGUGUCAGAUUCCAAGCUACGACAUAAAAACCCAAAUAGAGUUUGAGUCAAGUUCCUAUCAAAGUCAGUGAAAUGAAUUCUAUGCUCAGUUCCCUGAAUGUAGUGUGAGGUAAUUCACCGAGGUUUAGAGUCAGAAUCCAGGUUACUGUCAAAACGACAUGAAAACGUUUCCAAGUCAAGGGAACUGCUGCAAGUUCCUGCUCAAAACUCAUUUCAUGUCCUUAUCCACCGCUGCGAUCCACGUAUUGAGCCAACCCAACAUCAGGAAACACUGAGCCGGACUAGUGUUUCUGCACCAGUAAAGCCUCAGGGCAUUACAGAUGUGUUGUGUGAGGGUGGUUUUUCACUUACACUGAACACCUGCGUCUGUGCGUCACAGCACACGCCUGUUGAUAAGGCUGUUAUUAGGAGCUUAUUAAAUCAAUAUCUCAGUAGUAUCCAUUGGGAGGUAUGAAGAAAUUCAAACAGUUUCGGUCGGUUAAUACGUGUCGUCCAUGACCUCGUUUACAACCUAAUUGCGCCCUGGGAAUAUUUAUUAUUUAAUUUAAUUAAGAUGACACAUUUUUCCCAUAUCAAUAAUUCUGGCGUUUGGAUUAGUCUCAAAUAAAAACUUCUGUGAAACACGUACAUCUACCUGCUGUUGUUUGUCUUUCGGUUUCAUUUCUAGGAACGUUCAUUUGACUCAAUUAACCCACAGCUCCCGUGCGACUGAUUAGGUCUAAAAUGGCAACUUUCAGUUUAUCGUUGCUCGAUGUGGACACGGCUUGAUGUUGUCUCUCUGUCUCUCAAAUCAAAAGAAUUUUCCCUUGAGAAACAAACCGAAGGAUAGCUCACAGCUGGAGAAAGAGUUUGUCUGGCCAAGACUAUAAAUAAAGUUUUGACUUUGUCCAACAGACAACCCAGGUGAAGCUUCCUGACACACUUUUACUUCCUAGCCUGCCAGCUGAGAGGGGCUUGAAGUCAGCUCCACACACUCACCAAAGCAGUGUGUAAGAGGAAGUCGGGGACGACAUGAACACAGAUCUGCUUUGUGGUCAGGGUGAACAACAGCAACAGCAGCAGCAGCAGCAGCAGCAGCAGCAGCAGCAGCAGCAGCAGCAGCAGCAGCGGUAGUGAAAGUCUGUGUUGCUCACUGACCUGAGUUCAAUUUUGAACUCAUACCGCAUCAUAAGUCUGGGGCGGCCAUGAUUGGUUUUGUGUAAAAAGGGAAAGUAGAGGAACUCACACAGAGUCACUGCUGCUGAGCAAGGGCAGUAAAAACACCACUGCUGAGU